AUUUAUUCCUGUAGAGGCUGUGUUGAGCAACUUGUGCAUUUCUUCUUGGAACCACUGCCUAUGUUUUAGUUUAUAUCAGCUCUGACUAGUUUGAUUUAAAAACAGGAAAAUGCGGCAGGAGAAUCUUGUUUAGUUUAUUAGUCGUGAGAGCUGUGUAUUCUUCAUAUUGAUCACACAAUUCAUACUUUUUUUUGGUAGUAUUCGAUAUAUCAAUGUUAAUUAGAUAUGUUUCCCUUGUUUGUGCAGAUGUGAGCUGUUUGACACAAAUAUUGAUCAAUAUGUCAGAGGACUUGGUUGAUGUGGAAGGGAAUUGUCUCCACCAUUGAUACUUCUGUUUCGACCAGUAAUGUAAUAGAAAAUGAACAAUUUGCUGCUGCACAAGAUAUGUUGAUCUGGUUCUCGGUUAGCAGGCCACAGUCUCUGCUUUAGUCAUAGAUUUGAGUCCUAUGCAUGUGUUUGGAUUUCUUCGUUAAUGCUGUCAGAUUCUGAAUUUAAUAUCGGUCUUUUAGUUUUUUAGUAAAUAUCGAUGUCCAUCUUUCUGGGCUUUACAGAUACAUCACUCUUUGUUGUUUGAAAGUUUAAGCGUGGAAAACAAAAUUAUUUUUGGCGAUGUUUUCUUUGCAUUUAAUCAUAUAGUCGGCGCAGCCGAGGACCAAAUUUUUGCUGUCAAUUGUUUACUAUUUAUGAUGCAC
rnacentral:lncRNA from 1 species